UACGUAGGGUGCAGGCGUUAAUCGGAAUUACUGGGCGUAAAGCGUGCGCAGGCGGUUUGCUAAGACAGGUGUGAAAUCCCCCGGCUUAACCUGGGAACUGCGUCUGAUACUGGACGGCUCGAGUUUGGGAGAGGGAUGCAGAAUUCCAGGUGUAGCGGUGAAAUGCGUAGAUAUCUGGAGGAACACCGGUGGCGAAGGCGACAUCCUGGACCGAGAUUGACGCUGAUGAGCGAAAGCUAGGGGAGCAAACGGG
rnacentral:rRNA from 1 species